rnacentral:lncRNA from 1 species
CUUCUUUUUGGCUAUCUGAAGCGUUGUGUCUACUACAGUCUGCUGCUAACGUGAUCGAAGAUGGUGAUAGUCUUAAAGCAGUAUCUCUGCAGGGAGAUGAGCCAAGAAGAAAAGAUCUUCAAUCUGUCUCCAACAAGCUCUGGAAUUUCUAUUUUUCUAAGCGACAGGAAAAACCUCCGGGAAGUUCUUGGCUACCACAAUCGAUCAUCAUGUGGGACACCCUUAAGUGCUCUCUAAUUUCAAUGGAAAUUGUGACUCGUUGUGCGAAGAAUACAAUGCUUCCUGUCUAUGGUAUUGACUCCUUGUAUGAAGAGUUUAAAACCUCUAAGGGAAUUGCUUUGUCACUCUUAUUACGAGUGGUACAGAGCACCCGGACAAAGAAUGCUUUACAUGUUCGUCAGAGAUUUAUGGGUAUGAAAUAUCUUGCGGAGUCUAUAUGCUCUGGAAUCUCAAGUACUUCUUCAAGCAGCAUAAAGUAUGCAACACAUGAACAUCGGGAUUUAUCAAGAUCAUGGUUGAUACUCAUGACCUUUACUCAAGGAAUGAAUCGUAUAAAAAGAGAGACUGGAAUCCAUAUUGAAGACGAAAAUGAGUAUAUGCAUUUAUUCUUUGUUUUGGGUCAUUCAAUAGCUGUUAUUCACUCUCUGUUGGUUACUGGUACAUAUUCUGCUGCCAAUGAUGAAGAAAUAGAAAAUGAGGGAACCACCAAGGCAGGACUUGACAAGUGUGAUGGAGAUGGAAAAAGGUAUGCAAAAGUUGGGAGAUUGUCUCAUGAAGAUUCGGUAUGUACUGCAAUGGUAAGCAGCAGCUCCUCUGAUAGCUCGAUAGCCUCUGAAGUCAACAAAAUUGACCCUUUCCGUGCGCGGCUUCCUUCUUCUGCCAUAUGGUUGAUACGCGAGUGUUUGAAAGUUCUGGAGACAUGCUUAGAAGAUGAUGAAGGUAUAUCAAAAUUUCUUUGCAGAAACGUCUCUGGCAGCACGAUGUCAUGGCCAAAGAGAAAUUUUUCAAAGGUUGAAAUUGGAAGAAGUGUAUCCAGUAGUCUUGCCAGUUCUAGCAGAGAUCCGAGUACUGGCUUAUCACCUCUAUGCGGCGAUAUACAAACAAAUCUUACCUUGGAUAAUGUUGAUGGGUCGAAUGGGGAGGUUCAGACAGAUGUGAAGGCUUACUCUAGGAGAGUAUCUUGCAACUCUUCCUAUCCGAAUGCAUCCGGAGUACAUAUACUUGGUCUGUGUGAUUGGCCGGACAUCCAAUACGAUGUGAGCUCUCAGCCCAUAUCAGUUCAUCUACCGUUACACCGGUUACUAUCUUUGCUCUUACAAAAAGCAUUAGAGAGGUGUUAUGGAGAAUCGGCAUUGCACCAUGGAGUUAAUGUUAGUCAUGAGAUCCCACAGGCUGACUUCUUCAGCUACGUGAUAGGAGAUUUCCAUCCUUAUGGAUUUUCUGCACUUGUUAUGGAGCAUGUGCUCCGCAUUAGGGUAUUCUGUGCCCAAGUUAUUGCUGGAAUGUGGAAGAAGAAUGCGGAUUCUGCGUUAGUAACUUGCGAGUGGUAUCGGUCAGUUCGCUGGUAUGUGAAAGAAUACUAUUGUUAUCAUGAAGCGCUGUAGUUCAUCAUUCACUCGCAUGUUUUUCAUUUUAGUUGUUUCCAUUUACAGGUCAGAACAGGGACUUGAGCUUGAUCUAUUUCUUCUGCAGUGUUGUGGUGCGUUGGCUCCCGCAGAUUCUUAUGUUAAUAAGCUUCUCGACCGAUUUGGGCUCUCGAGCUAUCUUUCACUAAACCCCAAUAUGACAAAUGAGUAUGUAGCUAUUGUCCUCUUACUGCUAAUCGUUCUCAGUACAUGGUUUAAAAGUUCUGCUACAUCAAUCUGUCAAGUUAUCGCGUACAGUAUGAUUCUCUUCAUUUAACAGAAGCAUAUUGUCUCUAAUUAUUGAAGUAUAUCGUCUUUAAUUAAUUAUAUUACUCUGUAAGUCUUCUCUGUUUCGUAUUUAUAUAUUGCUAGAUGGUCAGUUUUUUUUUUCUUGAACACAAUGCUAGAUGGUUACUUAAAACGACCCUCUUGUAUCUAAAAUUUUUAUUAUUAUUAGUCUUUCUUGCCUGGUUUUGACAUUUAUUCUGAUCAUAAAAUUCUUUUCAGGUAUGAAGCAGUUUUGGUCCAGGAAAUGCUUGCUCUUCUGAUACAGAUCCUGCAAGAAAGGCGAUUUUGUGGUCUUUCUACUGUUGAAAGUUUGAGAAGAGAGAUCAUAUUCAAGUUAGCCACUGGAGAUUUCACUCAUAGUCAAUUGGUCAAAUCUUUACCCCGUGACCUGUCCAAGUCGGAUGAGCUCCAGGAGGUCUUAGACAACGUUUCAGUAUAUUGUAAUCCAUCCGGCAUGAACCAGGCAUUGAUUCAAAUCCAUAUACUGGCCUCACCCUUAAGUUGACACACAAUGUAAAACUCACGUGACGUUAGUUCUUUGGCAGGGAAAGUAUUCACUACGGUCAUCUUGUUGGAAGGAAUUGGAUCUCUACCACCCUCGUUGGCAUUCGAGAGAGUUGCAAUCUGCAGAAGAAAGAUUUUCACGCUAUUGUGGAGUGUCUGCGGUGACCACUCAGCUUCCUAGGUGGAGAAUGAUCUAUCCGCCGCUAAAGGGACUUUCUAGAAUCGGCACUUGCAAAGCCACAUUUCAGAUCAUUUGCUCAACUUUAUACUACGCACUACAGAGUGGUUCAUCUGUUAAAUCACGCGCUCAAGAUGGCGUUCUCAUAAGUGCAUUGCACUUACUCUCGUUAUCAUUGGAUAUUUGCACUCAGCAAAGGGGAUCUAAUAUUCAGGCUUGUUGCGUAGAAGAUUCUAUUCCGAUUCUCGAAUUAGCUGGUCUAGAAAUAAUUGGUCUAAAUCAAGGGACUGGAAAAGAAAGUUUGUUGUCUCUUCUUGUUUCAUUAAUGAGGACCCGUGAAGGCGAUGGUCUCCAUCAAUUUCCAGAGGCUGGCAGUUGUAAUAUUUCAUCCUGGAUUGGAAACUUGCUGAAGAAGUUCAGUGAAAUUGAUUCUGUUUGUAUGAACCUAUUGCAAAGUCUUGCCCCGGAGGUGGUCGGUCACUCUGGCUUUGACAAAGCCAUAUCAGGCUCUGCUUCUGAUGACACACGCAAGGCUAAAGCUAGAGAGAGGCAGGCUGCUAUUCUGGUAAGAUUUUUAAGUUUCAACUCUGUCUCCGGAUGUUUAUUAACUGGAAGCCUGCAUGUAGUAAUAUAUUUUUAUUUUUUUGGUAUAAGACAGUCUAGAUCGUUUAAAUGUUCAUUAUUUAACUUAUUAUCUACAGUAAUAAUUGAUAAGAUCCAGGAUAAACUAGUUAUGGGUAUUCUAACUUGGAUGCAGGCAAAAAUGAAAGCUGAACAAUCAAAAUUCUUGUCUACCUUGAGUUCCAGCAUGGAUGAUGAUGAUCUAAGAUCUGAAACUGAAACAAGUGAUUCCGUAGUGGAACAGGAUUCAGAAAUUGCUAUUCGUGAAGUUUGCUCCUUCUGCCAUGACCCAGAUUCCAAAGACCCGGUUUCUUUCUUGAUUUUUCUCCAGGUUAGUAGCGUGGAUGAUGCUAUUAUUUGUGAUUUUUAAUGUUAAAUAAACGUAUACUCCGAGGAAGUUUUGUUUUGUAUCCUUAAUAAUUUCUUUUCCUACCUGCAGAAAUCUAAACUUUUGAGUUUUGUGAAUAGAGGCCCUCCAUCUUUGGAUCAAUGUCCACAAUCUGAAAAGAAGAUACCCAUGGAUGAAGCUCCCGAUCUCCAGAGAAUAAAUGUUUCCUCAGACAGUUUAAGAAUGAUUCCUCAUGUGCUGCAGCUGUCAGAUGAUGCAACCUCCGAGUCUGCUACAGAUUCUGUGCUUGAGGCUUUAACAGCCCGGCUUUUAGGGAAUGGUCAGAAGGAGAAGAGGUCUAGCGAUGGGAGGGGAAAAGAUGAAUCUAACUUGGAGUCAUUGGAGACAGCUAUGUAUCAAACUGUUCGCAAAAAAACUGAAAACAUGAUAAAUCAAAGCCUUACACAUGUAAAUCAUCGACAGCCUGAUUCUGAAAGUAGUUCGGAGAGGAGUUCCGUUGGUGGUCUAUCUACUUUGCAUAGGUUUCAAGAUAUUCGAUCAAAACAAACCUCCAGAUAUCUGGAUGUCAGUGCAGAUGGGUUUCACCCUGCCGACUGUGAUGGGGUUUAUCUUUCAUCAUGUGGACAUGCUGUGCAUCAAAGCUGUCUUGAACGAUAUUUAAACUCGUUAAAAGAAAGGUGAGACAUGGUGAACCCUUUUUCAUUCAUGUCGAUAUCUCCGUCCCACCUGUUGCUUGCUUGAUUCACAUUUGUGAUGUUAACAUUGCAUUUAAAAUCUCUUUUUCUUUGUUUGGAUGGUGUAGGUCUGACAGAAGAAAUGUUUUUGAAGGUGCACAUAUAGUGGAUCUUGUACAGGUAUUUAUAUGACCAGUUUAGAUAUAUUUUAUGGGGUUUUAAUGUGCUCCUUCUGAAGCUUCAUCACUGUUUCUUCUUUCAGGGAGAAUUUCUCUGUCCUGCAUGCCGCCGACUAGCUAAUUCUGUGUUGCCUGCAUGUCCUGGAGACUUGUGUUCUGUAUCAAAGCUACAAGAAAGUUUGCAUGCUAAGUUAGGUAGAUUAGAUGAACAUAUACCUUCUUUUUGGCUAUCUGAAGCGUUGUGUCUACUACAGUCUGCUGCUAACGUGAUCGAAGAUGGUGAUAGUCUUAAAGCAGUAUCUCUGCAGGGAGAUGAGCCAAGAAGAAAAGAUCUUCAAUCUGUCUCCAACAAGCUCUGGAAUUUCUAUUUUUCUAAGCGACAGGAAAAACCUCCGGGAAGUUCUUGGCUACCACAAUCGAUCAUCAUGUGGGACACCCUUAAGUGCUCUCUAAUUUCAAUGGAAAUUGUGACUCGUUGUGCGAAGAAUACAAUGCUUCCUGUCUAUGGUAUUGACUCCUUGUAUGAAGAGUUUAAAACCUCUAAGGGAAUUGCUUUGUCACUCUUAUUACGAGUGGUACAGAGCACCCGGACAAAGAAUGCUUUACAUGUUCGUCAGAG